GAUGAACGCUGGCGGCGUGCCUAAUACAUGCAAGUCGAGCGAACAGAUGAGGAGCUUGCUCCUCUGACGUUAGCGGCGGACGGGUGAGUAACACGUGGAUAACCUACCUAUAAGACUGGGAUAACUUCGGGAAACCGGAGCUAAUACCGGAUAAUAUAUUGAACCGCAUGGUUCAAUAGUGAAAGACGGUUUUGCUGUCACUUAUAGAUGGAUCCUCGCCGCAUUAGCUAGUUGGUAAGGUAACGGCUUACCAAGGCAACGAUGCGUAGCCGACCUGAGAGGGUGAUCAGCCACACUGGAACUGAGACACGGUCCAGACUCCUACGGGAGGCAGCAGUAGGGAAUCUUCCGCAAAGGGCGAAAGCCUGACGGAGCAACGCCGCGUGAGUGAUGAAGGUCUUCGGAUCGUAAAGCUCUGUUAGUAGGGAAGAACAAAUGUGUAAGUAACUAUGCACGUCUUGACGGUACCUAAUCAGAAAGCCACGGCUAACUACGUG
rnacentral:rRNA from 1 species